rnacentral:rRNA from 1 species
GGAGUGCUUGCACUCUGCUGACGACCGGCGCACGGGUGCGUAACGCGUAUACAAUCUGCCUUAUACUGGGGUAUAGCCUUUAGAAAUGAAGAUUAAUCCCCCAUAGUCUCUUAUUAUGGCAUCAUAAAAAGAGUAAAGGUUACGGUAUAAGAUGAGUAUGCGUUCUAUUAGUUUGUUGGUGAGGUAACGGCUCACCAAGACUACGAUAGAUAGGGGCCCUGAGAGGGGGAUCCCCCACACUGGUACUGAGACACGGACCAGACUCCUACGGGAGGCAGCAGUGAGGAAUAUUGGACAAUGGAGGCAACUCUGAUCCAGCCAUGCCGCGUGCAGGAAGACUGCCCUAUGGGUUGUAAACUGCUUUUAUAUAGGAAGAAACCUUGGUACGUGUACCAAGCUGACGGUACUAUAAGAAUAAGGAUCGGCUAACUCCGUGCCAGCAGCCGCGGUAAUACGGAGGAUCCAAGCGUUAUCCGGAAUCAUUGGGUUUAAAGGGUCCGUAGGUGGAUAAUUAAGUCAGAGGUGAAAUCUUGCAGCUCAACUGUAAAAUUGCCUUUGAUACUGGUUAUCUUGAGUUAUUAUGAAGUAGUUAGAAUAUGUAGUGUAGCGGUGAAAUGCAUAGAUAUUACAUAGAAUACCAAUUGCGAAGGCAGAUUACUAAUAAUCAACUGACACUGAUGGACGAAAGCGUGGGUAGCGAACAGGAUUAGAUACCC